UAUAGACAGGUGGCUACAAGAAUUCCCCUCGUUUUGGGCAGAGACGGGGGGGGGGGGGGGGUGUGUAGGACUAGUUGCUCACAGGACCCUGGUCCUGGUAGAGCUCAAACCAGGAGAAGGUCCGGUAAGGAUCAAACAAUACCCCAUGUCUCAGGAGGUCUGGAAGGGGAUCCAGCCACACAUCCGGAGACUACGAAGCCUAGGGGUACUAGUUCCUUGCCAAUCUGCUUGGAACACCCCCCUACUGCCGGUCAAAAAGCCUCACACAAAUGACUAUCAACUGGUACAAGAUCUCUGGGAAGUAAAGAAGAGGGCCACGGACAUAAACCCAACUGAUCCCAACCCAUAUACUCUCUUGAGCUCCUUGGCACCCUCCAGGGUCUGGUAUACUGUGCUAGAUUUAAAGGACGCCUUCUUCAGUCUGCCGCUGGCACCCUAAAGCCAACCCUUGUUCGCCUUCGAGUGGCAUGAUCCAGAGGAGGGCUACAGCGGGCAACUCACCUGGACACGGCUGCCUCAGGGGUUCAAAAAUUCGCCCACCAUCUUCUACAAGGCACUACACGAGGACCUGGGUGCUCCACUACAUGACUGUGUGGGGAUCCUGGAGCAAGCACAUGGAUUCCGGACGGACCUGACCGACCGGCCCCUCCCCGAUGCCGAGGCUACUUGGUUCACUGAUGGCAGCAGCUUCACAUGGGACGGA